CAACCCUCAAGCCCCCCCGGGGGCUCGGCGUUGGGGACCGGCACCGCCCUCGCAGCGGUCGCCGCCCCCGAAAUACAGUGGCGGUCCCGCCGCAGCCUCCCCUGCGCAGUAGCACAGCUCGCAGAAGGAGCGCGGCGCGGCCACGCCGUAAAACACCCCAAACAAACGAAAUUG
rnacentral:misc_RNA from 1 species